CAGUCGCCGCGGGAAUACGUAGGUGGCAAGCGUUGUCCGGAAUUAUUGGGCGUAAAGGGCCCGCAGGCGGUUUCUUAAGUCUGAUGUGAAAGCCCCCGGCUCAACCGGGGAGGGUCAUUGGAAACUGGGAAACUUGAGUGCAGAAGAGGAGAGUGGAAUUCCACGUGUAGCGGUGAAAUGCGUAGAGAUGUGGAGGAACACCAGUGGCGAAGGCGACUCUCUGGUCUGUAACUGACGCUGAGGAGCGAAAGCGUGGGGAGCGAACAGGAUUAGAUACCCCCGUAGUCCCUGUCUCUUAUAC
rnacentral:rRNA from 1 species